CCUACGGGAGGCAGCAGUGAGGAAUAUUGGACAAUGGGGGAAACCCUGAUCCAGCCAUGCCGCGUGUGUGAAGAAGGCCUUCGGGUUGUAAAGCACUUUCAGUAGGGAGGAAAGCUCGGUAGCUAAUAUCUGCCGGGAUUGACGUUACCUACAGAAGCAGCACCGGCUAACUUCGUGCCAGCAGCCGCGGUAAUA
rnacentral:rRNA from 1 species